UACAGAGGGGGCGAGCGUUGUUCGGAAUUACUGGGCGUAAAGGGCGCGUAGGCGGCCCGCUAAGUCGAACGUGAAAUCCCCAGGCUCAACCUGGGAACUGCGUCCGAUACUGGCAGGCUUGAAUCCGGGAGAGGGAUGUGGAAUUCCAGGUGUAGCGGUGAAAUGCGUAGAUAUCUGGAGGAACACCGGUGGCGAAGGCGGCAUCCUGGACCGGUAUUGACGCUGAGGCGCGAAAGCGUGGGUAGCAAACAGG
rnacentral:rRNA from 1 species